GGCCGCUUGGCCCAAUGGUAAGGCGUCUGACUACGACGGAGCUUGACAACGAGCUUUCACCAUCUAAUCAGGAGAUUCUGGGUUCGAGCCCCAGGGUGGUCA
rnacentral:tRNA from 1 species